CAGCCGCGCGGUAAUACGUAGGUGGCAAGCGUUGUCCGGAAUUAUUGGGCGUAAAGGGCUCGCAGGCGGUUUCUUAAGUCUGAUGUGAAAGCCCCCGGCUCAACCGGGGAGGGUCAUUGGAAACUGGGAAACUUGAGUGCAGAAGAGGAGAGUGGAAUUCAACGUGUAGCGGUGAAAUGCGUAGAGAUGUGGAGGAACACCAGUGGCGAAGGCGACUCUCUGGUCUGUAACUGACGCUGAGGAGCGAAAGCGUGGGGAGCGAACAGGAUUAGAUACCCCUGUAGUCCCUGUCUCUUAUACA
rnacentral:rRNA from 1 species